CAGUAGCCGCGGUAAAACGAAGGGUGCAAGCGUUAAUCGGAAUUACUGGGCGUAAAGCGUGCGUAGGCGGUUUGUUAAGUCUGUUGUGAAAUCCCCGGGCUCAACCUGGGAAUGGCAAUGGAUACUGGCAAGCUAGAGUGUGUCAGAGGAUGGUGGAAUUCCCGGUGUAGCGGUGAAAUGCGUAGAGAUCGGGAGGAACAUCAGUGGCGAAGGCGGCCAUCUGGGACAACACUGACGCUGAGGCACGAAAGCGUGGGGAGCAAACAGGAUUAGAUACCCCAGUAGUCCCUGUCUCUUAUAC
rnacentral:rRNA from 1 species